rnacentral:rRNA from 1 species
GGCGCAAGCCUGAUGCAGCCAUGCCGCGUGUAUGAAGAAGGCCUUCGGGUUGUAAAGUACUUUCAGCAGUGAGGAAGGGGGGUGUGUUAAUAGCGCUAUCAUUUGACGUUAGCUGCAGAAGAAGCACCGGCUAACUCCGUGCCAGCAGCCGCGGUAAUACGGAGGGUGCGAGCGUUAAUCGGAAUUACUGGGCGUAAAGCGCAUGCAGGUGGUUUGUUAAGUCAGAUGUGAAAGCCCGGGGCUCAACCUCGGAAUUGCAUUUGAAACUGGCAGACUAGAGUACUGUAGAGGGGGGUAGAAUUUCAGGUGUAGCGGUGAAAUGCGUAGAGAUCUGAAGGAAUACCGGUGGCGAAGGCGGCCCCCUGGACAGAUACUGACACUCAGAUGCGAAAGCGUGGGGAGCAAACAGGAUUAGAUACCCUGGUAGUCCACGCCGUAAACGAUGUCUACUUGGAGGUUGUGGCCUUGAGCCGUGGCUUUCGGAGCUAACGCGUUAAGUAGACCGCCUGG